GUGGGGAAUUGUUCGCAAUGGGCGCAAGCCUGACGACGCAACGCCGCGUGGGGGAUGAAGGUCUUCGGAUUGUAAACCCCUGUUGACCGGGACGAAUCCUUGCCGGGCUAACAUCCCGGCGAGCUGACGGUACCGGUUGAGGAAGCCCCGGCUAACUCUGUGCCAGCAGCCGCGGUAAUACAGAGGGGGCGAGCGUUGUUCGGAAUUACUGGGCGUAAAGGGCGCGUAGGCGGCCGGCUAAGUCCGACGUGAAAUCCCCAGGCUCAACCUGGGAACUGCGUCGGAUACUGACUGGCUUGAAUCCGGGAGAGGGAUGUGGAAUUCCAGGUGUAGCGGUGAAAUGCGUAGAUAUCUGGAGGAACACCGGUGGCGAAGGCGGCAUCCUGGACCGGUAUUGACGCUGAGGCGCGAAAGCCAGGGGAGCAAACGGGAUUAGAAACCCCGGUAGUCC
rnacentral:rRNA from 1 species